rnacentral:rRNA from 1 species
CGGCAGCACGGGAGCUUGCUCCUGGUGGCGAGUGGCGAACGGGUGAGUAAUGCGUCGGAACGUACCGAGUAAUGGGGGAUAACGCAGCGAAAGCUGUGCUAAUACCGCAUACGCCCUGAGGGGGAAAGUGGGGGAUCGCAAGACCUCACGUUAUUCGAGCGGCCGACGUCUGAUUAGCUAGUUGGUGGGGUAAUGGCCUACCAAGGCGACGAUCAGUAGCGGGUCUGAGAGGAUGAUCCGCCACACUGGGACUGAGACACGGCCCAGACUCCUACGGGAGGCAGCAGUGGGGAAUUUUGGACAAUGGGGGCAACCCUGAUCCAGCCAUUCCGCGUGAGUGAAGAAGGCCUUCGGGUUGUAAAGCUCUUUCAGCUGGAACGAAACGGUACAGGUUAAUACCCUGUGCUAAUGACGGUACCGGCAGAAGAAGCACCGGCUAACUACGUGCCAGCAGCCGCGGUAAUACGUAGGGUGCGAGCGUUAAUCGGAAUUACUGGGCGUAAAGCGUGCGCAGGCGGAUUGUUAAGCAAGAUGUGAAAUCCCCGGGCUUAACCUGGGAAUGGCAUUUUGAACUGGCAGUCUAGAGUGCGUCAGAGGGGGGUGGAAUUCCACGUGUAGCAGUGAAAUGCGUAGAGAUGUGGAGGAACACCAAUGGCGAAGGCAGCCCCCUGGGAUGACACUGACGCUCAUGUACGAAAGCGUGGGUAGCAAACAGGAUUAGAUACCCUGGUAGUCCACGCCCUAAACGAUGUCAACUGGUUGUUGGGGGAGUGAAAUCCCUUAGUAACGAAGCUAACGCGUGAAGUUGACCG